rnacentral:rRNA from 1 species
UACGUAGGUCCCGAGCGUUGUCCGGAUUUAUUGGGCGUAAAGCGAGCGCAGGUGGUUUAUUAAGUCUGGUGUAAAAGGCAGUGGCUCUACCAUUGUAUGCAUUGGAAACUGGUAGGCUUGAGUGCAGGAGAGGAGAGUGGAAUUCCAUGUGUAGCGGUGAAAUGCGUAGAUAUAUGGAGGAACACCGGUGGCGAAAGCGGCUCUCUGGCCUGUAACUGACACUGAGGCUCGAAAGCGUGGGGAGCAAACAGG